rnacentral:rRNA from 1 species
CAACCUGCCCUUCANAGGGGGACAACAGUUGGAAACGACUGCUAAUACCGCAUACGAUCUAAUCUCGGCAUCGAGGAAAGAUGAAAGGUGGCCUCUAUUUAUAAGCUAUCACUGAAGGAGGGGAUUGCGUCUGAUUAGCUAGUUGGAGGGGUAACGGCCCACCAAGGCGAUGAUCAGUAGCCGGUCUGAGAGGAUGAACGGCCACAUUGGGACUGAGACACGGCCCAGACUCCUACGGGAGGCAGCAUG